GACGAACGCUGGCGGCGUGCCUAAUACAUGCAAGUAGAACGCUGAAGGAGGAGCUUGCUUCUCCGGAUGAGUUGCGAACGGGUGAGUAACGCGUGGGUAACCUGCCUGGUAGCGGGGGAUAACUAUUGGAAACGAUAGCUAAUACCGCAUAACAGUAGAUAUUGCAUGAUAUCUGCUUGAAAGGUGCAAUUGCAUCACUACCAGAUGGACCUUCGUUGUAUUAGCUAGUUGGUGAGGUAACGGCUCACCAAGGCGACGAUACAUAGCCGACCUGAGAGGGGGGUCGGCCACACUGGGACUGAGACACGGCCCAGACUCCUACGGGAGGCAGCAGUAGGGAAUCUUCGGCAAUGGACGGAAGUCUGACCGAGCAACGCCGCGUGAGUGAAGAAGGUUUUCGGAUCGUAAAGCUCUGUUGUAAGAGAAGAACGAGUGUGAGAGUGGAAAGUUCACACUGUGACGGUAUCUUACCAGAAAGGGACGGCUAACUACGUG
rnacentral:rRNA from 1 species